UACCUGGUUGAUCCUGCCAGUAGUCAUAUGCUUGUCUCAAAGAUUAAGCCAUGCAAGUCUAAGUACGAGCUCUCGUACAGUGAAACUGCGAAUGGCUCAUUAAAUCAGUUAUGGUUCAUUUGAUCGUACAGUUUACUUGGAUAACUGUGGUAAUUCUAGAGCUAAUACAUGCGAGAAGCGCCGACCUCGCGGGAGGCGUGCAUUUAUCAGACCAAAAACCGGCCGCGUCUUCGGGCGCGUUCGCCUUGGUGACUCUGGAUAACUUUGCGGAUCGCACGGUCUAGCACCGGCGACGGAUCAUUCAAGUGUCUGCCCUAUCAACUUUCGUCGGUACGGUAUUUGCCUACCGAGGUUCUUACGGGUGACGGGGAAUCAGGGUUCGAUUCCGGAGAGGGAGCCUGAGAAACGGCUACCACAUCCAAGGAAGGCAGCAGGCGCGCAAAUUACCCAUUCCCGACGCGGGGAGGUAGUGACGAAAAAUAACAAUGCAGGACUCGUUCGAGGCCCUGUAAUUGGAAUGAGUACACUUUAAAAGCUUUAACGAGUAUCCAAUGGAGGGCAAGUCUGGUGCCAGCAGCCGCGGUAAUUCCAGCUCCAAAAGUAUAUAUUUAAGUUGUUGCGG
rnacentral:ncRNA from 1 species